rnacentral:tRNA from 1 species
AUUUAUAUAGUAUACAAGUAUAUGUGACUUCCAAUCACAAGGGCUAAAUAUAAUUUUAGUAUAAAUA